rnacentral:rRNA from 1 species
AACAUAGGACACAAGCGUUAUCCGGAAUUACUGGGCGUAAAGGGCGUGCAGGCGGUUGCGUAAGUUAGGCGUGAAAGACUUCGGCUAAACCGGGGGAGGUCGUCUGAUACUGCGCAACUAGAGUAUGGUAGAGGCGUGUAGAAUUCCGGGUGUAGUGGUGAAAUGCGUAGAGAUCCGGAGGAAUACCAGUGGCGAAGGCGGCACGCUGGGCCAUAACUGACGCUAAGACGCGAAAGCAUGGGUAGCGAACGGG